CGUAUCCUUCAGUUCGGCUGGAUCGGAGACAGGUGCUGCAUGGCUGUCGUCAGCUCGUGUCGUGAGAUGUUGGGUUAAGUCCCGCAACGAGCGCAACCCUCGCCCUUAGUUGCCAGCAUUCAGUUGGGCACUCUAAGGGGACUGCCGGUGAUAAGCCGAGAGGAAGGUGGGGAUGACGUCAAGUCCUCAUGGCCCUUACGGGCUGGGCUACACACGUGCUACAAUGGUGGUGACAGUGGGCAGCGAGACCGCGAGGUCGAGCUAAUCUCCAAAAGCCAUCUCAGUUCGGAUUGCACUCUGCAACUCGAGUGCAUGAAGUUGGAAUCGCUAGUAAUCGCAGAUCAGC
rnacentral:rRNA from 1 species